rnacentral:rRNA from 1 species
AAUCAACGCUGGCGGCGUGCCUCAGACAUGCAAGUCGAACGAUUAAACUUCUCUUCGGAGAAGAUAUAAAGUGGCGCACGGGUGAGUAACACGUAGGUAAUCUACCUUUGAGUGGGGAAUAACAAUCGGAAACGAUUGCUAAUACCACAUAAUGCAGCGGCAUCAUAAGAUGACAGUUGUUAAAGCGAGCAAUCGCGCUUAAAGAGGAGCCUGCGGCAGAUUAGCUAGUUAGGUAAGGUAAUGGCUUACCAAGGCUACGAUCUGUAACCGACCUGAGGAGGG